GACAGAGGGUGCAAACGUUGUUCGGAAUUACUGGGCGUAAAGCGCGUGUAGGCGGCCAUCUAAGUCGGGCGUGAAAUCCCACGGCUCAACCGUGGAAGUGCACUCGAAACUGGAUGGCUAGAGUCCUGGAGAGGAAGGUGGAAUGCUUGGUGUAGAGGUGAAAUUCGUAGAUAUUCGCAAGAACACCAGUGGCGAAGGCGGCCAACUGGGCCGGACCUGACGCUGAGGCGCGAAGGCGUGGGGAGCGAACGGG
rnacentral:rRNA from 1 species